AUGUUCAAUUUCCUUUAAUUACCCCCAUCUGCCUUGAAGAGUAGGUAUAGGCAGCUAGGCGAUGGCAAGACAUGUUCACUUGAAGAUUUUGCUUUGAUUAACGGCUUUGCCCACAUGCUGGAAGGCCCCCCUCCCAGGAAAAGUUCUCUCGAACCAGGGUCUGGGCCUCCUUGCUACCAGGAUACAGUUUCCGCCAUGUAUAGGACUCAGAGUCCACCUGCCAAUCGGAAAGGCAAGCUCUUGGCCUCGGAAGACCCAAACACCAGAAAUGGAACUGCUGUUGCUGGUUCCAAAGAGGAUGGAACUAGCAAAGGCAUUAUUCCUCAGUUUGUCCAAUCGCUGAACAUUCCAGUGAUGAGGUUGCAACUCAUGAAGGUCUGGGUGAGCUCUUCAUGGAAGCCACACUCAGUAUACCACAGGGACCAGCCAUCCUUAUCAAAGUGCUCCCCAAAACAUGGCAACACCACAGAGAGCUUGUUCUCAUUGGAGUACUUCCGCUUAAACUCAUCUAACACUAAGGUACUCUUGGGCAUGUGAGCUAAGAGGUCCUUGGCCUUGGGCUCAGCAGUGAGUGGCUGCACAGGCUCCCCAAUCUCCUCCUUAGGAGCUGGGGCAGCUGCCUUCUUUUUUCUUUUUUUCUGGUCAGCCUGGAGCUUCUGUUUCUUUUCUCGUGAACCCCUUUCUUUCUUUGGAGUAUCUUUUUUAGGCUGGCUGUCUGCAAACUUCUUAGCAUCGAACUGGGCCAUCCUCUCAAGCUUCACCUCCCCCAAGACUGCCCUGAACUGGGUCUGGUUAAUGCAGGUAAGGAACCAUUGGUUGGUAUUGGGGAAGGCCUGGCGAAAAGGCUCUAAGACCUGUUUGUGGAGCCACAGAAGGGUACAGACAAUUGUGAUAUCAGUCAGUGUCACUCACUCACCCACCAAAAAAGUCCUUGUCUUCAAAUGAGUGUCCAGCAGCCCCAGGAUUUGCCUUACCUCCUCUUUUGCAUUUUCAGUGGCCUGUUUGUUGUGGUGCAUGAUGCCCAAGGUGGGGAACACCCAGGUGCUGGCUGGAGGAACAAUGCCACUGUCAGCAAAGCUCACCCACUGCACCACCUGAGCUGCUUCCUCUGGAAUACUUCCACAAGGUCCUCAUUGCUUAUGUAAUAGGUGAUGGCAUUGCUCUCAAACACACAGAGUCCAUCAUCACCCUCAAAUGCUGGAACCUUGACAGCAGGACAUUUUCUGAGAAAUUCAGUGGUAUGGUUGGUUUGGCCAAAGUGGAAGUGGGAUAGUG
rnacentral:lncRNA from 1 species